UACGGGGGGGGCAAGCGUUGUUCGGAAUUACUGGGCGUAAAGGGCUCGUAGGUGGCCAACUAAGUCAGACGUGAAAUCCCUCGGCUUAACCGGGGAACUGCGUCUGAUACUGGAUGGCUUGAGUUCGGGAGAGGGAUGCGGAAUUCCAGGUGUAGCGGUGAAAUGCGUAGAUAUCGGAAGGAACACCGGUGGCGAAAGCGGCGCGCUGGAUCUCUUCUGACGCUGAGGCGCGAAAGCCAGGGGAGCAAACGGG
rnacentral:rRNA from 1 species